AUUGAACGCUGGCGGCAGGCCUAACACAUGCAAGUCGAGCGGAUGAAGGGAGCUUGCUCCUGGAUUCAGCGGCGGACGGGUGAGUAAUGCCUAGGAAUCUGCCUGGUAGUGGGGGAUAACGUCCGGAAACGGGCGCUAAUACCGCAUACGUCCUGAGGGAGAAAGUGGGGGAUCUUCGGACCUCACGCUAUCAGAUGAGCCUAGGUCGGAUUAGCUAGUUGGUGGGGUAAAGGCCUACCAAGGCGACGAUCCGUAACUGGUCUGAGAGGAUGAUCAGUCACACUGGAACUGAGACACGGUCCCGACUCCUACGGGAGGCAGCAGUGGGGAAUAUUGGACGAUGGGCGAAAGCCUGAUCCAGCCAUGCCGCGUGUGUGAAGAAGGUCUUCGGAUUGUAAAGCACUUUAAGUUGGGAGGAAGGGCAGUAAGUUAAUACCUUGCUGUUUUGACGUUACCAACAGAAUAAGCACCGGCUAACUUCGUG
rnacentral:rRNA from 1 species